rnacentral:misc_RNA from 1 species
UUUCUGUAGGUGAACCUGCAGAAGGAUCAUUACCACCCGAUCGCACGGGACGGGGGGCUCGCCCCCCCGCCCAACGCGACGCAGGAAAAGGAGGCGACCACGUCCGCACCCCGUGCCCUGCAGGUGGCUGCCACCACGGCAGCAGCGGGCACGGCGCGGAGGGGAGGAGGAGAGGGAGAGAGUGGAGAGUUAAGGGCGAUCACAACCCUGAACAACGGAUAUCUUGGUUCCGGCAUGAUGAAGAACGCAGC